rnacentral:rRNA from 1 species
GAUGAACGCUGGCGGCGUGCCUAAUACAUGCAAGUCGAGCGAACAGAUGAGGAGCUUGCUCCUCUGACGUUAGCGGCGGACGGGUGAGUAACACGUGGAUAACCUACCUAUAAGACUGGGAUAACUUCGGGAAACCGGAGCUAAUACCGGAUAAUAUAUUGAACCGCAUGGUUCAAUAGUGAAAGACGGUUUUGCCGUCACUUAUAGAUGGAUCCGCGCCGCAUUAGCUAGUUGGUAAGGUAACGGCUUACCAAGGCGACGAUGCGUAGCCGACCUGAGAGGGUGAUCGGCCACACUGGAACUGAGACACGGUCCAGACUCCUACGGGAGGCAGCAGUAGGGAAUCUUCCGCAAUGGGCGAAAGCUUGACGGAGCAACGCCGCGUGAGUGAUGAAGGUCUUCGGAUCGUAAAACUCUGUUAUUAGGGAAGAACAAAUGUGUAAGUAACUAUGCACGUCUUGACGGUACCUAAUCAGAAAGCCACGGCUAACUACGUG